GACGCGGUGGCCUAAUGGUUUGCGCGUUGGACUCUGGAUCGAGUGGUCUGGGUUCGAGCCCUGGCUGGGGUCA
rnacentral:tRNA from 1 species